rnacentral:rRNA from 1 species
CACGUAGGGGGCAAGCGUUGUCCGGAUUUAUUGGGCGUAAAGAGCUCGUAGGCUGUUCGAUAAGUCGGGUGUGAAACCUCCAGGCUCAACCUGGAGACGCCACCCGAUACUGUCAUGACUAGAGUCCGGUAGGGGAGCGUGGAAUUCCUGGUGUAGCGGUGAAAUGACGCAGAUAUCAGGAGGAACACCGGUGGCGAAGGCGGAUCUCUGGGCCUUACCUGACGCUGAGGCGCGAAAGCUAGGGGAGCAAACAGG